UACGUUGGGGGCAAGCGUUGUCCGGAAUCAUUGGGCGUAAAGCGAGCGUAGGCGGCCCGAUAAGUCUGCUGUAAAAGUCAACGGCUCAACCGUUGAAAGCCGGUGGAUACUGUCGGGCUAGAGUUCGGAAGAGGCAAGUGGAAUUCCUGGUGUAGCGGUGGAAUGCGCAGAUAUCAGGAGGAACACCUAUAGCGAAGGCAGCUUGCUGGGACGAUACUGACGCUAAGGCUCGAAAGCGUGGGGAGCGAACAGG
rnacentral:rRNA from 1 species